UACGGAGGGUGCAAGCGUUAUCCGGAUUCACUGGGUUUAAAGGGAGCGCAGGCGGACUGGUAAGUCAGUGGUGAAAGCCCUGGCUCAACCCGGGAACUGCCAUUGAUACUAUCAGUCUUGAAUAUCGUUGAGGUUUGCGGAAUGGGUCAUGUAGCGGUGAAAUGCAUAGAUAUGACCCGGAACACCUAUUGCGAAGGCAGCAGGCUAAGCGAAGAUUGACGCUGAGGCUCGAAAGCGUGGGGAUCAAACAGG
rnacentral:rRNA from 1 species